rnacentral:rRNA from 1 species
GACGAACGCUGGCGGCGUGCUUAACACAUGCAAGUCGAACGGAAAGGCCUCUUUCGGGGGGUACUCGAGUGGCGAACGGGUGAGUAACACGUGAGUAACCUGCCCUUGACUUUGGGAUAACUUCAGGAAACUGGGGCUAAUACCGGCUAGGAGCUCCUGCGGCAUGGUGGGGGUUGGAAAGUUUCGGCGUUUGGGGAUGGACUCGCGGCUUAUCGGCUUGUUGGUGGGGUAGUGGCUUACCAAGGCUUUGACGGGUAGCCGGCCUGAGAGGGUGACCGGCCACAUUGGGACUGAGAUACGGCCCAGACUCCUACGGGAGGCAGCAGUGGGGAAUAUUGCACAAUGGGUGGAAGCCUGAUGCAGCAACGCCGUGUGCGGGAUGACGGCCUUCGGGUUGUAAACCGCUUUCGCUCAUGACGAAGCUUUGUGUGACGGUAGUGGGUAAAGAAGCACCGGCUAACUACGUG